rnacentral:rRNA from 1 species
UACGGAGGAUACAAGCGUUAUCCGGAUUUAUUGGGUUUAAAGGGUGCGCAGGUUGUUUGAUAAGUCAGUGGUGAAAGUCUGUCGCUUAACGGUAGGAUUGCCAUUGAUACUGUUGGACUUGAAUAUGGAUGAGGUAGGCGGAAUGUGUAGUGUAGCGGUGAAAUGCAUAGAUAUUACACAGAACACCGAUUGCGAAGGCAGCUUACUAAUCCAUCAUUGACGCUGAGGCACGAAAGCGUGGGGAUCAAACAGGAUUA